rnacentral:rRNA from 1 species
UACAGAGGUGGCAAGCGUUGUUCGGAAUUACUGGGCGUAAAGGGCGCGUAGGCGGCCAUCUAAGUCAGACGUGAAAUCCCCCGGCUUAACCUGGGAACUGCGUCUGAUACUGGACGGCUUGAGUAUGGGAGAGGGAUGUAGAAUUCCAGGUGUAGCGGUGAAAUGCGUAGAUAUCUGGAGGAAUACCGGUGGCGAAGGCGGCAUCCUGGACCGGUAUUGACGCUGAGGCGCGAAAGCUAGGGGAGCAAACGGG